rnacentral:rRNA from 1 species
AUCAUUACCGAAUUGUCAAACGGGGUUGUUGCUGGUCUUCAAACGGGGACAUGUGCACGCUCUGUUUACACAUCCACUCACACCUGUGCACCCUCCGUAGUUCUAUGGUCUGGGGGACCCUGUCUUCCUGCCGUGGUUCUACGUCUUUACACACACUCUGUAAUAAAGUCUUAUGGAAUGUAUGCCGCGUCUAACGCAAUACAAUACAACUUUCAGCAACGGAUCUCUUGGCUCUCGCAUCGAUGAAGAACGCAGCGAAAUGCGAUAAGUAAUGUGAAUUGCAGAAUUCAGUGAAUCAUCGAAUCUUUGAACGCACCUUGCGCCCCUUGGCUAUUCCGAGGGGCAUGCCUGUUUGAGUAUCAUGAACACCUCAACUCUCAUGGUUCGCCAUGAUGAGCUUGGACUCUGGGGGUUUUGCUGGCCUGGGUCGGCUCCCCUCAAAUGAAUCAGCCUCCCAGUGUUUGGUGGCAUCACGGGUGUGAUAAAUAUCUACGCUCGCGGUGUCUGCCAGGUAACCUUUGGUGACAAAGGUUCGCUGGAGCUCACAGAUGUCUCUCCUCGGCGAGGACAGCUUUUUUGAACGUUCGAUCUCAAAUCAGGUAGGACUACCCGCUGAACUUAAGCAUAUCA